rnacentral:rRNA from 1 species
AUUGGUCAAUGGACGCAAGUCUGAACCAGCCAUGCCGCGUGAAGGAUGAAGGUCCUCUGGAUUGUAAACUUCUUUUAUCUGGGACGAAAACGGGAUUUUUAUCUCAAUUGACGGUACCAGAGGAAUAAGCACCGGCUAACUCCGUGCCAGCAGCCGCGGUAAUACGGAGGGUGCGAGCGUUAUCCGGAUUUACUGGGUUUAAAGGGUGCGUAGGUGGGCUUAUAAGUCAGUGGUGAAGUCUCCGAGCUUAACUUGGAAACUGCCGUUGAUACUAUAGGUCUUGAAUUAUCUGGAGGUAAGCGGAAUAUGUCAUGUAGCGGUGAAAUGCUUAGAUAUGACAUAGAACACCAAUUGCGAAGGCAGCUUACUACAUAUAAAUUGACGCUGAGGCACGAAAGCUUGGGGAUCAAACA